UGAGGAAUAUUGCGCAAUGGGCGAAAGCCUGACGCAGCAACGCCGCGUGAGCGAUGAAGGCCUUCGGGUUGUAAAGCUCUUUUCUGGGGGACGAGGAAGGACGGUACCCCAGGAAUAAGCCUCGGCUAACUACGUGCCAGCAGCCGCGGUAAAACGUAGGAGGCAAGCGUUAUCCGGAUUUACUGGGCGUAAAGCGCGUGCAGGCGGUUUGGUAAGUUGGAUGUGAAAUCUCCUGGCUCAACUGGGAGAGGUCAUUCAAUACUGCCAGACUUGAGGGCGGAAGAGGGGAGUGGAAUUUCCGGUGUAGUGGUGAAAUGCGUAGAUAUCGGAAGGAACACCAGUGGCGAAGGCGGCUCCCUGGUCCGUGCCUGACGCUAAGACGCGAAAGCUAGGGGAGCGAAUGGGAUUAGAAACCCCGGUAGUCCUAGCUGUAAACGAUGCGGACUUGGUGUUGGUGGCUUAAACUCCAUCAGUGCCGAAGCUAACGCGUUAAGUCCGCCGCCUGGGGACUACGGCCGCAAGGCUA
rnacentral:rRNA from 1 species